rnacentral:rRNA from 1 species
UACAGAGAGUGCAAACGUUGUUCGGAAUUACUGGGCGUAAAGCGCACGUAGGCGGUGUCGUAAGUGUCUGGUGAAAUCCCACGGCUCACCCGUGGAACUGCCAGGCAUACUGCGAUGCUCGAGUGUGGUAGGGGAGAGCGGAACUCCUGGUGGAGCGGUGAAAUGCGUAGAUAUCAGGAGGAACACCGGUGGCGAAGGCGGCUCUCUGGUCCACAACUGACGCUGAGGUGCGAAAGCAUGGGGAGCGAACAGG